ACGGCUAUCGGAUACGACUUAGCCAUGCGAGUCACAGGAAAGCAACCCACUGGCGGAGUGUUAGUAAACGUAGCUAACCUACCCUCAGGUCGAAGAACCCUCGGGAAAUGAGGCUAAUCCCAGAUAGGCACCGCUUUCCGAACGUCCGGGUCCAAAGCUCCGGCGCCCAGGACGGACUGCGGCCGAUUAGGUUGUUGGCGAGGUAACAGCCCACCAAGCCGACGAUCGGUACGGGCAGUGAGAGCUGUAGCCCGGAGAUGGGGACUGAGACAAGGCCCCAGGCCCUACGGAGCGCAGCAGGCGCGAAACCUUCACAAUGCUCGAAAGAGUGAUGAGGGUACUCCGAGUGCCUAUGCUUCGCAUAGGCUUUUCUCCAGCGUAAAUAGUUGGAGGAAUAAGGGGCUGGGGCAAGACCGGUGCCAGCCGCCGCGGUAACACCGGCAGCCCAAGUGGGUGACCGUUUUUAUUGGGCCUAAAGCGUUCGUAGCCGGACAAGCAAGUCUUUGGGUAAAUCCUACGUCCCAAGCGUGGGAAUUCUAAAGAUACUACCUGUCUUGAGGCCGGGAGAGGCUAGAGGUACUCCUGGGGGUAGGGGGUAAAAUCCUAUAAUCCCCGGGGGGACCACCGAUGGCGAAGGCAUCUAGCUGGAACGGGCCUGACGGUGAGGGACGAAACCCAGGGGAGCGAGCCGGAUUAGAUACCCGGGUAGUCCUGGGCGUAAAUGAUGUGGGGCUUGGGGGGUGAGUGCAUCGACGAGGUGCCCUUG
rnacentral:rRNA from 1 species